rnacentral:piRNA from 1 species
UGAAACACCACAAUUGACUUUCACGCUUUAC